AUUGAACGCUGGUGGCAUGCUUUACACAUGCAAGUCGAACGGUAACAGGGAGCUUGCUCCGCUGACGAGUGGCGAACGGGUGAGUAAUGCGUCGGAACGUGCCGAGUAGUGGGGGAUAACGCAUCGAAAGGUGUGCUAAUACCGCAUACGUACUGAGGUAGAAAGCGGGGGACCUUCGGGCCUCACGCUAUUCGAGCGGCCGACGUCUGAUUGGCUAGGUGGUGAGGUUAAGGCUCACCAAGGCGACGAUCAGUAGCGGGUCUGAGAGGAUGAUCGGCCGCACGGGGACUGAGACACGGGCCAGACUCCUACGGGAGGCAGCAGUGGGGAAUUUUGGGCAAGGGGCGCAAGCCUGAUCCAGCCAUGCCGCGUGUCUGAAGAAGGCCUUCGGGUUGUAAAGGACUUUUGUCCGGGAGCAAAUGCCUGGUGUUAAUAGCAUCGGGAGCUGAGAGUACCGGAAGAAUAAGCACCGGCUAACUACGUGCCAGCAGCCGCUGUAAUAC
rnacentral:rRNA from 1 species